CCUACGGGUGGCAGCAGUGGGGAAUAUUGCACAAUGGGGGAAACCCUGAUGCAGCGACGCCGCGUGAGUGAAGAAGUAUUUCGGUAUGUAAAGCGCUGUCAGCAGGGAAGAAAAUGACGGUACCUGACCAAUAGGCGCCGGCUAACUACGUGCCAGCAGCCGCGGGAAUACGUAGGGGGAGAGCGUUAUCCGGUUUUACUGGGGGGAAAGGUAUCGGAGACGGCAGGGCAAGACUGGAGUGAAAGGCGGGGGGUCAACCCCCGGACUGCUCUGGAAACUGGCAGGCUGGAGUGCAGGAGAGGUAAGCGGAAUUCCUAGUGAAGCGGUGAAAUGCGUAGAUAUAAGGAAGAACACCAGUGGCGAAGGCAGCUUACUGGACUGUAACUGACGUUGAGGCUCGAAAGCGUGGGGAGCAAACAGGAUUAGAUACCCCGGUAGUC
rnacentral:rRNA from 1 species